rnacentral:rRNA from 1 species
GAGUCUAACAUGUGCGCGAGUCAUUGGGACACGCAGACCUAAAGGCAAAAUGAAAGUAAAGGUCAGCCUAGCGCUGACCGAGGGAGGAUGGGCCGCGUCACGAUGCGGCCCCGCACUCCCGGGGCGUCUCGUUCUCAUUGCGAGGAGAGGCGCACCCAGAGCGUACACGUUGGGACCCGAAAGAUGGUGAACUAUGCCUGGUCAGGACGAAGUCAGGGGAAACCCUGAUGGAGGUCCGUAGCGAUUCUGACGUGCAAAUCGAUCGUCGGAACUGGGUAUAGGGGCGAAAGACUAAUCGAACCAUCUAGUAGCUGGUUCCCUCCGAAGUUUCCCUCAGGAUAGCUGGCACUCGCGUACAAAACGUGCACGAGUCUCAUCCGGUAAAGCGAAUGAUUAGAGGCCUUGGGGCCGAAACGACCUCAACCUAUUCUCAAACUUUAAAUGGGUGAGAUCUCUGGCUUGCUUGAACUAUGAAGCCACGAGAUUUCGGAUCAGAGUGCCAAGUGGG